rnacentral:rRNA from 1 species
UACGUAGGGGGCAAGCGUUGUCCGGAUUUAUUGGGCGUAAAGAGCGUGUAGGCGGUUUGGUAGGUCCGCUGUGAAAACUCGAGGCUCAACCUCGAGACGCCGGUGGAAACCAUCAGACUAGAGUCCGGAAGAGGAGAGUGGAAUUCCUGGUGUAGCGGUGAAAUGCGCAGAUAUCAGGAGGAACACCUGCGGUGUAGACGGCUUACUGGACCAUCACUGACGCUGAGGCACGAAAGCGUGGGUAGCAAACAGG